CACGCAGUAAACGAUGUACACUAGGUGGUGGGUGGUAGCACUCAGUACCGAAGCAAACGCAUUAAGUGUACCGCCUGGGGAGUAUGCUCGCAAGGGUGAAACUCAAAGGAAUUGACGGGGGCCCGCACAAGCGGUGGAGCAUGUGGUUUAAUUCGAUGAUACGCGAGAAACCUUACCAGGGCUUGACAUACACAGGAAUGUGCAAGAGAUUGCACAGCUUUUCGGAGUCUGUGUACAGGUGC
rnacentral:rRNA from 1 species